UAGAACAAUCUACUCCUUUAACAGUCAGAC
rnacentral:piRNA from 1 species